rnacentral:rRNA from 1 species
UUGAACGCUGGCGGCAUGCUUUACACAUGCAAGUCGAACGGCAGCGGGGGCUUCGGCCUGCCGGCGAGUGGCGAACGGGUGAGUAAUGCAUCGGAACGUACCCAGUCGUGGGGGAUAACUACGCGAAAGCGUGGCUAAUACCGCAUACGCCCUGAGGGGGAAAGCGGGGGACCUUCGGGCCUCGCGCGAUUGGAGCGGCUGAUGUCGGAUUAGGUAGUUGGUGGGAUAAAAGCUUACCAAGCCGACGAUCUGUAGCUGGUCUGAGAGGACGACCAGCCACACUGGGACUGAGACACGGCCCAGACUCCUACGGGAGGCAGCAGUGGGGAAUUUUGGACAAUGGGGGAAACCCUGAUCCAGCCAUGCCGCGUGCAGGAUGAAGGCCUUCGGGUUGUAAACUGCUUUUGUACGGAACGAAAAGAUCUCUUCUAAUAAAGGGGGUUCAUGACGGUACCGUAAGAAUAAGCACCGGCUAACUACGU